rnacentral:rRNA from 1 species
GAUGAACGCUGGCGGCGUGCCUAAUACAUGCAAGUCGAGCGAACAGACGAGGAGCUUGCUCCUCUGACGUUAGCGGCGGACGGGUGAGUAACACGUGGAUAACCUACCUAUAAGACUGGGAUAACUUCGGGAAACCGGAGCUAAUACCGGAUAAUAUAUUGAACCGCAUGGUUCAAUAGUGAAAGACGGUUUUGCUGUCACUUAUAGAUGGAUCCGCGCCGCAUUAGCUAGUUGGUAAGGUAACGGCUUACCAAGGCGACGAUGCGUAGCCGACCUGAGAGGGUGAUCGGCCACACUGGAACUGAGACUCGGUCCAGACUCCUACGGGAGGCAGCAGUAGGGAAUCUUCCGCAAUGGGCGAAAGCCUGACGGAGCAACGCCGCGUGAGUGAUGAAGGUCUUCGGAUCGUAAAACUCUGUUAUUAGGGAAGAACAAAUGUGUAAGUAACUAUGCACGUCUUGACGGUACCUAAUCAGAAAGCCACGGCUAACUACGUG